UAUAUAGUAUUAUUAACAAGAAAUUUAGUGUAUGAUAAUUAAAUCAAGUGAUUGAAAAACAAGUAUAAUUUGCUACGAUUUUAAAGUGCGGUGGUUAAAAAAUGGCGUUGUAAAAAUAGGAAUUAAACUAGGAUUAGAAAUUCAUACUUAGAUCUGGAGCCCCUCAGUGUCAGUUUCAGAAGUUGUGCGAACAGCAUGGCUUCUGGAAUAUCCAACUCCCAGCCCAUUAACAUAAGUGGACGGGAGGUGCCUGUUAAUUCCAGGAACAAUCAGCGAGAGAGGGAUAACGUGAUUACAUACUGUAGACAUGAAGAUGACGAAGUAGUAGCAUCCAUAAAUAACACUCCAGGUUCACUUAAUUAUGGUGGACAUGUUCUGUUCAAUUGGCAAGCAAGCAAAGCCACAGUCAAAGAAAGAUUGGCCUUUAUUUUUAAUAAAGAAAUCUUGAGUGAUGUACAUUUUAUUGUAGGAAAAGGAGCUCAGCUGCAGAGAAUUCCAGCUCACAAAUUCGUUCUUUCUGUUGGUAGUGCUGUAUUCGAUGCUAUGUUUAAUGGUGCCAUGGCAACAAGCUCAGAUGAAAUAGACCUCCCUGAUGUUGAACCUGCAGCUUUUUUGGCUCUACUUAGGUUUUUAUACUCUGAUGAGGUUCAGAUUGGUCCAGAAACUGUAAUGACAACAUUGUACACAGCCAAAAAAUAUGCUGUUCCUGCUUUAGAAAAAGCUUGUGUGGAUUUUUUAAAGUCUAAUCUGAGUAGUGACAAUGCCUUUAUGCUCCUAACCCAAGCGCGAUUGUUUGAUGAACCGCAACUUGCUGCUCUCUGCCUCGAAACCAUCGACAAAUGUACCUCUGAAGCACUAGCUGCAGAAGGAUUUACAGACAUUGAUCACGACACUCUUUGUGCUGUUUUAGAGAGAGACACUCUCCGAAUCAGGGAAGCAAAGCUAUUCAAUGCAGUUGUCAGAUGGGCAGAGCAGGAGUGCGUACGUCAGAAUCUCCCAGUGAACCCAGAAAACCAGAGGACAGUGCUUGGUACUGCGAUCCGUUUGAUUAGAUUUCCAUUGAUGACAGUAGAGGAGUUUGCCGUUGGACCCGCUCAGGCAGGAAUACUGUGUGAUCGGGAAGUGGUAUCGCUCUUUUUGUAUUUUACUGUCAAUCCUAAACCAACCAUCAACUUUCCUGAUAUUCCCCGAUCAUGUAUUCUCACAGGCAAAGAACAAGUUGUAUGUAGAUUUCAACAAACAGAAAGCCGUUGGGGUUACAGUGGCACCAGUGACAGGAUAAGCUGUUGCCGAUGAAUGUUUCUUUGUUCACCUGUAUCAUUUUCACGUAUUGUGUAGUUUUUAUGCAAAAGGCUUACAGUCAUCACAUUCAUCAUGGCAGUUAUUGGUUUAUGGUGGACCGACGAAUAUUUGUUGUUGGAUUUGGUCUAUAUGGUUCCAUUCAUGGGCCUUCAGAUUACGAUGUUAAUAUUCAG